rnacentral:tRNA from 1 species
AAAAUCCGUCUACUUUAUAAGUCGUGAGGGUUCAAGUCCCU